CUACGGGUGGCUGCAGUAGGGAAUCUUAGACAAUGGGGGAAACCCUGAUCUAGCCAUGCCGCGUGAGUGAUGAAGGCCUUAGGGUUGUAAAGCUCUUUCGCUGGGGAAGAUAAUGACGGUACCCAGUAAAGAAACCCCGGCUAACUCCGUGCCAGCAGCCGCGGUAAUACGGAGGGGGUUAGCGUUGUUCGGAAUUACUGGGCGUAAAGCGCGCGUAGGCGGGCUAUUAAGUCAGGGGUGAAAUCCCGGGGCUCAACCCCGGAACUGCCUUUGAUACUGGUAGUCUUGAGUUCGAGAGAGGUGAGUGGAAUUCCGAGUGUAGAGGUGAAAUUCGUAGAUAUUCGGAGGAACAUCAGUGGCGAAGGCGACUCACUGGCUCGAUACUGACGCUGAGGUGCGAAAGUGUGGGGAGCAAACAGGAUUAGAUACCCCCGUAGUC
rnacentral:rRNA from 1 species